rnacentral:rRNA from 1 species
UACAGAGGGGGCAAGCGUUGUUCGGAAUUACUGGGCGUAAAGGGCGCGUAGGCGGCGCUGCAAGUCAGGCGUGAAAUUCCUGGGCUUAACCUGGGGGCUGCGCUUGAGACUGUGGUGCUAGAGGAUGGAAGAGGCUCGUGGAAUUCCCAGUGUAGAGGUGAAAUUCGUAGAUAUUGGGAAGAACACCGGUGGCGAAGGCGGCGAGCUGGUCCAUUACUGACGCUGAGGCGCGAUAGCGUGGGGAGCAAACAGG